UACGUAGGCAGCAAGCGUUGUUCGGAGUUACUGGGCGUAAAGAGUGCGUAGGCGGUGCUCUAAGUUUGGUGUGAAAUCUCCCGGCUCAACUGGGAGGGUGCGCCGAAAACUGGAGUGCUUGAGUGUGGGAGAGGCAAGCGGAAUUCCUGGUGUAGCGGUGAAAUGCGCAGAUAUCAGGAGGAACACCGGUGGCGAAGGCGGGUCUCUGGGCCGUAACUGACGCUGAGGAGCGAAAGCGUGGGGAGCGAACAGG
rnacentral:rRNA from 1 species